AAAACCCCACAAACCCCCCCUCCCCCUAACACCUUUCCUCUUCUUUCUCGACCUUCUUCUCCAGCGGCGGCACUCGGGCACUGAUUAUUCUCCGGCUUGGCUGUCCUUCAAUCUCAAGCAUACUGGCGUAUUUAAAGAGAACCGGGCGGUGUGGUGGCGUGUUUCAGUGGUUUAAACGACAACUGGUUCAUCGGUCUAGGAGAUUUCUCUGUCUCCACUGCAGCUCGUUCAAGGAAACGUCUCCAUAGCAGUUUCUUCACAAAGUUAUUAAAAUGGCUGCCACUGGGGAGAUUACAGCGUCAGAGUUCUUGCUGGGUUCACAAAGACAAAGUUUGUUUCUACACAGAAGUUUUCACAAGCAGAAGUGCCGUUUUCUUUGGGGUUCACUUCGCAGUCGAAGCCCUUCACUGGGAAUAUCAAGUAACUAUAGUAAAAGGGCUCUGACUCCUGUAAUGCCCAGAGCUGUGGUUUCAGGGACUGUGAACAGUAAAGUAGAAGAUGAUUCAAGUAAGGUUGACAGUUCUGCAGGGGAUGUUAUACAUUUUUACCGUGUUCCACUGAUUCAGGAGAGUGCAACUGCAGAACUUCUCAAGUCAGUCCAGACGAAGAUCUCAAGUCAGGUUAUUGGGUUGAAAACUGAACAGUGUUUUAAUAUUGGACUUCACUCAGAACUCUCAAGUGAGAAGCUUGGAGUUCUAAAAUGGAUUCUUCAAGAGACAUAUGAACCUGAUAAUUUGGGGACUGAAAGCUUUCUUAACAAGGAGAGACAGGAGGGCAUCUCCACUGUGGUGGUUGAAGUUGGGCCACGACUAUCUUUUACAACAGCAUGGUCUGCUAAUGCUGUCUCAAUUUGCCAAGCAUGUGGGUUGACUGAGGUAAUCCGCAUGGAGAGGUCAAGAAGGUACAUGUUGUAUAUUAAGGAAGGAACUGAUUCUCUGCAAGAACAACAAAUCAAUGAGUUUGUUGCCAUGGUUCACGAUAGGAUGACAGAAUGUGUCUAUCCCCAGAAGCUAACAUCUUUCCAAAUAAGUGUUGUUCCCGAGGAAGUUCAGUACAUUCCAGUCAUGGAGAGGGGACGCGAAGCAUUGGAAGAGAUCAAUGAGAAAAUGGGAUUGGCAUUUGAUGAACAAGAUAUACAGUAUUACACUAGGCUCUUUAGAGAUGACAUUAAGCGGAACCCAACAACUGUGGAACUAUUUGAUAUUGCACAGUCUAACAGUGAGCACAGUCGUCACUGGUUUUUCAAUGGGAAAAUUGUUAUUGAUGGUCAGCCUAUGAAUAGGACACUUAUGCAGAUUGUCAAGAGCACACUACGGGCCAAUCCGAGCAACUCUGUCAUUGGCUUCAAGGACAACUCCAGUGCAAUAAAAGGUUUCCUUGUUAACCAGUUGCGUCCAGCCCAACCUGGUUCAACAUCUUUGUUAAGGAUGGAUAAACGUGAACUUGAUAUCUUAUUUACUGCAGAAACACAUAACUUUCCUUGUGCAGUGGCACCUUAUCCUGGAGCAGAGACUGGUGCUGGGGGUCGUAUAAGGGAUACCCAUGCUACGGGAAGAGGAUCUUUUGUUGUGGCAUCUACUGCUGGGUAUUGUGUCGGUAAUCUUCAUAUAGAAGGUUCCUAUGCUCCCUGGGAGGAUCCAUCUUUCACAUACCCAUCAAACUUGGCUUCUCCUUUGCAGAUCCUCAUUGAUUCAAGCAAUGGUGCAUCAGACUAUGGGAACAAGUUUGGAGAACCCUUGAUUCAGGGGUACACAAGAACUUUUGGAAUGAGACUUCCAAAUGGGGAAAGAAGGGAAUGGUUAAAACCUAUCAUGUUCAGUGGAGGAAUUGGGCAGAUUGAUCACAUUCAUAUAUCGAAAGGAGAUCCAGAGGUUGGGAUGCUAGUUGUGAAGAUUGGAGGGCCAGCAUAUCGCAUAGGAAUGGGAGGUGGUGCAGCUUCAAGCAUGGUGAGUGGUCAGAAUGAUGCAGAGCUGGACUUUAAUGCUGUACAGAGAGGGGAUGCUGAGAUGGCACAGAAGUUAUACCGUGUUGUUCGUGCCUGUGUUGAGAUGGGGGAGAACAACCCAAUUAUUAGCAUUCAUGACCAGGGUGCAGGGGGGAACUGUAAUGUUGUUAAGGAAAUAAUCUAUCCAAAGGGUGCAGAGAUUGAUAUUCGGGCAAUUGUAGUUGGUGACCACACAAUGUCAGUUUUAGAGAUAUGGGGUGCAGAGUAUCAGGAACAGGAUGCGAUAUUAGUAAAGCCUGAAAGCUACCACCUGUUACGAUCAAUAUGUGAAAGAGAAAGGUUGUCAAUGGCUGUUAUUGGAACAAUCAGUGGUGAAGGGCGGAUUGUAUUAGUUGACAGUGCAGCUGUAGAGCGUUGUCGUUCAAGUGGGCUUCCUUUGCCCCCGCCUGCUGUAGAUCUUGAACUUGAGAAAGUGCUUGGUGAUAUGCCUCAGAAAUGCUUUGAGUUCAGUCGAAUGGAUCAAGCACUGGAGCCACUAGAUAUUGCCCCUAGCACCAUGUUAAUGGAUUCUCUGAAGAGGGUCUUGAGACUUCCAUCAGUGUGCUCAAAGCGCUUCUUAACAACAAAAGUAGAUAGGUGUGUAACAGGUCUUGUGGCACAGCAGCAGACAGUUGGUCCUUUGCAACUUACACUUUCUGAUGUUGCUGUCAUUGCUCAAACAUAUACAGACCUGACUGGGGGUGCAUGUGCAAUUGGAGAGCAACCCAUCAAGGGUCUGCUAGAUCCAAAAGCAAUGGCAAGACUAGCUGUUGGAGAAGCACUUACAAAUCUAGUUUGGGCCAAGGUUACUUCUCUUUCUGAUGUUAAGGCAAGUGGGAAUUGGAUGUAUGCUGCCAAACUUGAUGGUGAAGGAGCAGCAAUGUAUGAUGCUGCUACAUCUCUUUCAGAAGCAAUGAUUGAACUGGGUAUUGCAAUUGAUGGAGGAAAAGACAGUCUGUCAAUGGCAGCUCACUCAUCUGGUGAAGUUGUCAAGGCUCCUGGAAAUCUUGUUAUUAGUGUUUAUGUUACCUGUCCAGACAUCACAUUGACAGUCACUCCAGACUUGAAACUUGGGGAUGAGGGUGUCCUCCUUCACAUUGAUUUGGCAAAAGGAAAGCGGCGUUUGGGUGGAUCUGCUCUUGCUCAGGUAUUUGACCAAGUUGGAAAUGAGUGCCCAGAUCUUGAUGAUGUCUCUUACCUUAAAAAAGUUUUUGAGGCUGUUCAGGAAUUGCUUACAGAUGGGCUGGUCUCGGCUGGUCAUGAUAUCAGUGAUGGUGGAUUGAUGGUCUGUGUCCUUGAAAUGGCUUUUGCUGGGAAUUGUGGUGUCCUUUUGAACUUGACUUCGCAAGGUAAGACUCUCAUUCAAGAGCUAUUUGCAGAAGAGCUUGGUCUUGUUCUUGAGAUUAGCAAGCAGAACUUGGAUGCAGUGAUGGGAAAACUUAGCAGAGCUGGGAUUAGUCCUAAGAUCAUCGGGCAUGUUACAGCUUCUCCUGUUGUCGAACUAAGGGUUGACGAUGUAACUCGAUUGAAGCAGGAAACAUCCUACCUUUGGGACAUGUGGGAGGAAACCAGUUUCCAUAUAGAGGGGUUCCAAAGGCUAGCUUCUUGUGUGCAAUCAGAACAAAAGGGUUUGAAAAGUAGGCGCAAACCUAUAUGGAGGUUAUCCUUCACUCCUUCAUUUACAGAUAAGAAAUUGAUGGAUGCAGCUUUGAAACCAAAAGUGGCCGUGAUUCGGGAAGAAGGGAGCAAUGGGGACAGAGAAAUGUCUGCUGCUUUUUAUGCUGCUGGUUUUGAACCCUGGGAUGUCACUAUGUCAGACCUUCUGAGUGGAGUAGUCUCCCUGCAUGAUUUCCGUGGGAUUGUAUUUGUAGGAGGUUUCAGCUAUGCAGAUGUACUGGACUCUGCAAAAGGUUGGUCAGCCUCCAUAAGGUUCAACCAGCCUCUAUUGACCCAGUUCCAGGAAUUCUAUAACAGGCCUGACACGUUCAGCCUUGGGGUUUGUAAUGGGUGCCAGCUUAUGGCUUUACUGGGAUGGGUUCCUGGAGGGCAAGUUGGGGGUGUUCUUGGUGUAGGUGGAGAUCCAUCUCAGCCGAGGUUCAUCCACAAUGAAUCUGGUAGGUUUGAAUGCCGUUUCACAAGUGUGACAAUAAGUGAAUCACCUGCAAUAAUGCUUAAAGGAAUGGAGGGUAGUACUCUUGGUGUGUGGGCUGCUCAUGGUGAGGGAAGGGCGUAUUUCCCUGACAGUGUUGUUUUGGAUCGUACCCUCCAGUCUAAUUUGGCCCCACUAAGAUAUUGCGAUGAUGAUGGGAAGAUAACAGAGGUUUAUCCUUUCAACCCAAAUGGUUCCCCAUUGGGAGUGGCAGCAAUUUGCUCGCCAGAUGGGCGGCACCUUGCUAUGAUGCCUCACCCUGAGCGAUGCUUCCUGAUGUGGCAGUUCCCAUGGUAUCCAACGGAAUGGAAUGUGGACAAAAGGGGACCUAGCCCGUGGCUGCGUAUGUUUCAAAAUGCUAGGGAGUGGUGCUCUUGAGACAGUUCAGGGGAAGGCUCUUGAUUUCUGAAAUAGAAGGGCUUCUGAAACUUUUAAAGAAUUGAAGUAUCAAACUGAGGAAGAUGAGAGAACAACAGCAUCCAUCGUUCCCACACAGUCCUCUAAAGUCAAGAUUUUCUGGGUCUAGAACAGGGGCUAAGUGCAAUGACAGUGAACUAAGGUGCGAUUGAGGCAUACCAAGGUGCAAUGGAGGCUAAGUAAGGUGCAAUAAAGGCUAGGUAAGAGGCAAUGGAGGCUAACUAUGGUGCAAUGAAGGCUAGGUAAGAUGCGGUGGAGGCUAAGGUGCGAAGGAGGCUAAGUAAGGUGUGAUGGAGGCUAAGUAAGGUGCGAUGGAGGUGUUCUGAUGUGCGAUGGAGGCUAGGUAAGAUACAAUGGUAGGAUAUGUUGUGUUGGAGGCGUUGAGAUGCGAUUUCAAAUCGCUAGUAAGGUUUGCUAUGUUGCGCAUCACUGAAAUGUGAUUUUGACUUAUGCUUACCAUGCUAAGUCUCUAAGAGAUGCGAUUUUAAAUCACAGAAUGAACAACACUUUCAGUUUUAAAGUUGUAAAA